rnacentral:rRNA from 1 species
GGCAAAAUAAGUCAGAUGUGAAAUUCCACAGCUCAACUGUGGAGCUGCAUUUGAAACUGUUUAGCUAGAGCAUAAUUAGGGAAAACGGAAUUCCACAUGUAGCGGUGAAAUGCGUAGAUAUGUGGAGGAACACCGGUGGUGAAGACGGUUUUCUGGGUUAUUGCUGACGCUGAGGCGCGAAAGCUAGGGGAGCAAACAGGAUUAGAUACCCUGGUAGUCCUAGCCGUAAACGAUGCAUACUGGAUGUAGGAAGGCUCAACCCUUUCUGUAUCGGAGCUAACGCGUUAAGUAUGCCGCCUGGGGAGUACGCUCGCAAGGGUGAAACUCAAAAGAAUUGACGGGGGCCCGCACAAGCAGUGGAGCAUGUGGUUUAAUUCGAUGCAACGCGAAGAACCUUACCCAGGCUCGAAGUGUAGAGAAAAACAGUAGAAAUAUUGCGUCCCGAAAGGGGCUCUAUAUAGGUGCUGCAUGGCUGUCGUCAGCUCGUGCCGUGAGGUGUUGGGUUAAGUCCCGCAACGAGCGCAACCCUUAUUGUCAGUUGCCAACAUGUAAUGGUGGGGACUCUGGCAAGACUGCCUAGGUUAACUAGGAGGAAGGUGAGGAUGACGUCAAGUCCGCAUGGCCUUUAUGUCUGGGGCUACACACGUGCUACAAUGGUCGGUACAGAAGGCAGCGAAACCGCGAGGUGGAGCAAAUCCGAAAAAACCGAUCUCAGUUCAGAUUGCAGUCUGCAACUCGGCUGCAUGAAGUUGG